CACGAACUCUUGAGCAGGUUUUCUCAUGUUCUCACCCAGGCUGCUUUGGUGACAUCAGGGCCAGGGUAAGGCUGGGAUAGCUGAGAUCACACAGCCAAGAAGGAAGCAGCCGGUGAAAGAUCUGGAGCAGGAGUCUGAUGGGGAGCAGCUGAUGGAGCUGGGAUGGGUCAGUGUGGAAAAGAAGAGGCUCAGGAGAGACCUUAUUGCACUCCACAGCUCCUUGAAAGGAGGUUAUGGUGAGGUGGGGGUCGGCCUCUGAUCCCAGCCUUAGGAUGGGGAAGUGCCAUGCUGAGGACCACACUGCGGAUUGCUCUGACUGGGUUUCUUCUUGUUGGCCCACACAUGAGCUGGAGCAUCAACUGCAGCCCCUGCCCUGAGCCAGAGGAGGGGGCACAGCAGACGUAACUCCUGCUCAGAAGUUGAGCCCACGAUCCCACGUUGCUGCAGCUGAUCUCUAUUUUCCCUAAACUCUACAGACAGCGUCUUCAGAACUUAAUUUGAUUUUGAUUGAUUUUUUGAAACUUGAAACACUUCUAAACUAAUUUUCAGUAUAUUACUCUUGUCAACUCUUAAAGAUUUUGUCAGUAAGAAUUUGCUGAACAGACACAGUAAUUUUGUUUCUCAUUUUGGCAGAUCACCCCUAAAGAGGAAAGUGGGCAGGAGGGGGUGUUAUUAUAGCUGCAGUUAUUAGAAUAUACAUUGCAAUUACCUUGCUCCUAUUUGUGGGUCGUUUAAGAGCAAUUUCUGAGUGCAGCCACUAGGAGCUCAACCUGCACGGUUGUGUGAUGCCAUCUAAAAGGAGCCUCACUCUUUGCUUGUUGCUCCUCUCUCAGAGUGAUUUUUAGCUUUGAGGGGUAUCCAUGUUGGAAGUUGGGUUUGUGAUCUUGAGGACCACCUUGAAGACACGGCCCGGCGUGGGCAUGGCCUAACCCUGUGUUCACACCUGAGAAGACAGAGAUGGUGGGUGGGAAGGGAUGGGAGAUGUUGUCAGGCAGAGCUGGAGCUGGAUCCAGGGCUCAAUGGAAUCUGGCAUGAUACAUCUCUGCUUUCUGAACCACGCAGGUGACUGGGGGGAGGGAGACAGGGAGAUCUGUGUAAAUUCAGCUGCACAACGCUGUGUGGGGCAGCAUUAAAGAAAAUCUGUUUUAUAUGUAACCUCUUCAACCAGAGAUGGCAUUUUUUUAG
ensembl:lncRNA